GUCUUUUGGUUGGAGCAUUGAGUCCAUUUACAUUUAAGACAAUUAUUGACAUGUAUGUACUUAUUGCCAUUUUGUUAAUUGACACGGUUGGGUUUGGGGUCUGGGGUGCCCUGAAGGUUGCAUUGGCCUGCUGGUCCUGCUGGGCAGGACCAGGGCUCAGCUGGCCCCAGGGUAGGGAUUGUCCUGCUCUUGGUGGACUUGGUGUGCAGGCUGCAGGAUCAGUUUUCUUCCUUUUAGUGUCUGUCCCCUGGCGGGUGAGGUUAACGGAGACUUCCUGGUAGGAAGGGUCAGUACCUGCCCACUGGGUGGGGCUGGAACUUGGCCCUCUGGAGGGCAGAGCUGUAUUUAUGGGCAUGUCUAGAAGUGGCUAUGGGUUCAAGAAGUCUUUAGGCAGCUGUCUGCUGAUGGGUGGGGCUGUGACCCACCAAGUUAGUUAUUUGACCUGAGGCAUCUCAGCACUGGUACCUACAGGCUGUUGGGUGGGGCCAGAUCUUGGCACUAAUAAGCCACAAUGGCAGCCACCAGCAGAAGUGUUAAUUCAGUUGAAUGUUUCCAAAUAGGUCUGUCACUACUGUCUAUGUCCCCAGAGGGAGCCACAGCCACUCCCCAGUCUCCAGGUGGCUCACCAAGACCAGCAGUAACUGCAAGAAAUGGCCAUCUGGACAAAUGCCCAAAAGGACUCUUCUCUAAAGUUUCUCCCUGUUUUAAGACUCAAGGCCGUGCCUUAAGGAGGCUCAACACCACUAUCCGGCCACUAUUUAAGUGACCUGCUAAUCAGAUGGCAUUCUGAAGAGUGCUACAAUUUGCAGUUGGCAGCUUUGGCAACCAGGAGGGGACACAGAGCAGACUUCUCUUCUUCUCUUCCUCACCUGAACGUUACAAGGAUGUGGAGCCUUGAUGCGAGCAAGGCCCCUUGUGCUCAUUCACUUCUUCAGCAAGUCUGACAAAUUUGGAUCUUCAAGAAGAUUCAUAAAAAGGACUUUUUGACAAAUAUGUUUCAGAUGAUUCCACUGAACUGGGUGAGAUUAUGAAACUCUAAUGGAAAACCUGAUGGCUUAAUAAAACUACUAACAAAAAAGUCAAAGUCAACAAGAAUUAAUUACAUGGGACUGAAUGAAUUGGUAAAUAUGACUUACAAUGUUAUGGCUGUUUGCCUGAAAUAUUACUGGCUUUCAAUCUUUGUUUCCAAGAUAUGAGGAAACCUUUUCUCUCAUGCCAACUAUGAUUUGCACAAGUUGAUAAAGUAUACCUUUGUAAACAAAGAUGAAACAUUUAUCUUUUGCUCUCUACCUGAUCCCUUCCCUCUGGACGUGGUGGCUUACUGUGAUCUGCAUUACAACCAGUCAUACUAAUCAUUGUCAUCAUUUGUUCUCUCUUUGUUGUUUUCAAACUAUUUAUGCUUUAUCUCCCUCAUUGAUGAACUAUGACCUUAAAAAUACUACUACCUAUAUUAUUUAUAUCCUGACUAUUUUAUAAGAUUGUUGUUUCUUGCAUUACCCUCUGUGCAGCCAGUUCAAUAACAAAGUGAAUGAUGGCUAAACCUCUUGGGGCAAUCAAUCACAUAUAUAGCUCUAUAUUAAAUUCACUGGAAUGAUGCGACUCUAGAUGUGGGUGGAAGCAAUAAGGGAAAAAGAUUUCUUGGAUCAUUAUAAACUACGUAGUAAGACAUACGACCCAGAGAAUUUUUUGGUUAUUAACAGAGCCUAAUUCAGAUACAGCACAGGAAUGACCUACCAGUGAAAUCCUCUCCUUAAGGAGGAAUGAGCCUUCCUAUAACCAUGAGACAAAUUAGUCAUCAAGUGCCUCCAAAACUUUGGUUAAAUUUAUGACCAAAAAGCAGGAAGCUGUAAACAAAAAGAACAGUCUCCUUCAUUAUCCCAUUAUAGAAAGGGUUAAAGUGCAACCCCCUGCAGUCACCCACUGACAGUGCCCCUGAGGGGAAUUCAGGAUAAAGAAAACCAGGAUAAAAUAUUCUGGGUUUGGAUAUAAAGGCCCCUUAGAAACUCAGGAUCGAUAUCUUAGAAUCUCAUUGACCCCAGAUUCAUGUUUUAGAAAAGCACCAAAAUCAUUAAAUCAGGUAUUUGUUUCCUGAUGAUUAGCAGUAAUCUUUCACCAAAAUACAUGCUUAACUAUAUGUAUUUGCCUGUCAAAAAAUUCAGAAUCCACUGUCUCCUUCCCUGCUUCUUCAGAGCAUUCCUCAGAGCUAUUUAAAAGGCUGUCUCCAAGGCUGUAUUUCUCAGUGAAGUCCCCAAAUAAAAC